AGAGAUCACUUAGAUUUCUAAUCAAUCAUCAAUGAUUGUCUCGAUGCUAUAGUUAUAUGAAUGAUCUUUUGACCUAUGAUGACACGAUUGUUCGUAGUAAGACUGUUGGAGUUUGACUGACAUAUAAACAUGACCUCAAUGAGAUCUUGUAGUGGAUGUUGGCGAUAGUUAAUCCACUGUAGGAGUAGGGUGUGUAUCUAGAUGAAAUCGAAAUCUAUCGAUCUUGAUCGAAAGAAGUAGUUCUAUAAGUUUGAGAGGCUGAGUCUGAGAGUAUGGCCACAGUAGUACGAUUAAUGAAAAAG
rnacentral:lncRNA from 1 species